rnacentral:rRNA from 1 species
GUGCCAGCCGCCGCGGUAAUACAGAGUGGGCAAGCGUUAUUCGGAAUUAUUGGGCGUAAAGGGCGCGUAGGCGGCAUGGCAAGUGGAAGGUGAAAUCCCUCGGCUUAACCGAGGAACUGCCCUCCAAACUGCUUUGCUUGAGGCCGGGAGAGGUGAGUGGAAUUCCCAGUGUAGCGGUGAAAUGCGUAGAUAUUGGGAGGAACACCAGUGGCGAAGGCGGCUCACUGGACCGUUUCUGACGCUGAGGCGCGAAAGCGUGGGGAGCAAACGGGAUUAGAUACCCGCGUAGUCC